UGCGGGAUUGGAAGGAAAGCUGUCCCUUGGGGAUGGCGCUCAAGGAUGGGCUCAUGUCCUAUCAGCUUGUUGGUAGGGUAACGGCCUACCAAGGCAUCGACGGGUAGCUGGUCUGAGAGGACGAUCAGCCACACUGGCACUGCGACACGGGCCAGACUCCUACGGGAGGCAGCAGUGAGGAAUAUUGCGCAAUGGGCGAAAGCCUGACGCAGCGACGCCGCGUGGGGGAUGAAGGUCUUCGGAUUGUAAACCCCUUUCGGGAGGGAAGACGGCCUUAGACAACUAAGGCGGACGGUACCUCCAGAAGCAGCCACGGCUAACUUCGUGCCAGCAGCCGCGGUAAUACGAAGGUGGCAAGCGUUGUUCGGAUUUACUGGGCGUAAAGGGAACCGUAGGUGGUUAGGUAAGCCCUCCGGGAAAUCUUCAGGCUUAACCUGAAAAGGUCGGGGGGGACUGCCUGGCUAGAAGACGGGAGAAGAACCGCGGAAUUCCCGGUGUAG
rnacentral:rRNA from 1 species